AAGGGGUCCCCUGUUCAGAUGGGGCUGGAGAUGAUCGGCAAAAGGGCUGCAGGGCGCUAGGAGCCUGGAGGAAGGCACCCCUGUGAGCUCUGGGCACCUGGCCAGCCUCCAGGCAGAGAUUGUUGAGGACCCGAGAGGGAGAGGUUAGGGUGGCAGGAAGUUCACAUCGCUGCCUGGGUGUGGCUCAGAUUAGUCUGUGACCAGAAGUCACUCAGAGAAGUCAACAGUCAGUUUGUGAACGAGGGAGGCUUUGCCAGCUGGGGAGAAUGUGAGCCAAACCAUUGGUCCCAGGCGAAGAUCUUAAGGCUGACCUGAGGGUCAAGGAUGGUGGUGUUGACUGGCUGGUGUGGACACCAAGGCCUGGAGCCUGAAUCCAGGUGGUGGCUCACAAGUUGGCCAUGCUCCUGGGGUGAUGAGGCCACUGUGGGUGGUCAGGAAAGAGUCAUGGCUUUCUACUUGAGGCCAGAGUCCUCUGGGGGUGGCCCAAUGGGUCACGGUGGCUAGCUGCACGGUGAUGCUGACAUGCCAAAGGCCACAGUCAGUCCUGGGUCGCUUGGGGAGGACAUUGGGGAGCCAGGCCCCCAGCCAGGAGUUUUCUGGUGAGAUGGGAGUGAAUGGUAUGCCACCAGAGACAGCUGCACCCCCCGGCACUGGGCAAGUGCCAGGGGCACAGCCACCCCCAGCAGACCUAGUGGAAUCCGCCCUUCUCUCCAGGCUCAUUGGGAAUGGGAGUUACCAAGCCAAGGUGCUGGGGCCCAACCCAGGAGUCUUGACUCCAGUCCCACCCACGGCUGCCCAACCCUGGGAAGGCUGAGGACCAGUGGCCUCUGGUGUAAUUCUAACCAGGUGAGCAGCCCGCCUGUGGGUGGGGGCAGGGCCAUUGUCACCUGGGGCCCUGCUUCCCAACUGCCCUACCCUGAUCCUGUGUCCUUGGCCAACUGCCUCCUGCCUGCCCCUAGUCUCUAUCCUCUGCCUUCCUCUCCUCCCUCUAGCCAGUUCUCUUCCUCGGUCUUCAUCCCCUCUUUCUUUCUUUUUGCCCUGCUCAGUCUCUCAGCCUGUCUUUAUUCCUGUGUGGGUCUCCUUCUAUUUUCAUGUGGUCUCUGUCCCACCAGCCCCUUCACUACUUCUGCUCCAUCUCUGGAAGCCCCCUCCCUUGUGCUUGGCACAUUCUGGCCUCCACCCCCACUGCAGUGCCCAUCCCUGGAGCAGCUACUGCUGCCUUAGGUGCCCAGGACCAAGGGAGUGGGUUUGGACCAAGGUUAUAGGUCUGGGAGCAAACGGGUGGGGAGGGUAUCCCCUAGCCUCUGGAAUGUGGGCAGGGCCGGCCCCAGGAAGUGGCAGGGGAAGGCAGCCCCCACAGGCUGGCCCCAACUGCCUUCACACACACACACACACACACACACACUCCCCAGAGGCUCCCACAGGCCUCCUGGAGAAGCAACAACACCUCAGACUCCCACACAGGGCCCCACAGCCCCAGAGACGCCAACCCACCUCCUUGCUGGACACUCACACGUAGCACCCUUCUUCACAGUUCACCAGCACUCUGCUCUGCAACCCAGCAACCCUAACACACAACACCACCCACACACA